rnacentral:lncRNA from 1 species
CAGGCCUGUCUCUCAUAUUUAUGGAAGAACCUGACUUUCUGCAGUUCCAAGCAAGCCACUUUCCUGCUUCCUCAGGCAGUCGUGUCAUUUUUAGGGCCUGUGAAACCACUGUGAAAACUGUGGAGCAGAUCAUUGGAGAGCCACUUACUAAGAGUGACUCAUCCAGGCAGAUUACAGGACGAAGACAACUAACAGAACGAAGACAACUAACAGAACAGCCACAUUUACACAUGGAAAUCACUAAACAAACACCAACGGGACUCUUCAUGGCAAAGUCUGAAAGUGAUUUUGGUCUAAAUUAAAUGGUUUCCAAAAACUUAUCUAGAGCAAAUGCCUCUUAAAUAUGAAAUACAUGUUUUGUGUUCACAACUACUCCCUAGAAAAUCAAGCUUUUAAACCAAAACUUAUAUAAUUGGUCUGAAGAACUUCCUGCCUCCUCCUUAAGAGAUUUAGGGAACAUAGAAGAUGACUUGAGGAUAUUUCCAGACAGUGAUAUCAGAAGGGAGGAAUUAGCAUGACGUUAGGUAGCUGGAUUUAAGGAUUAUCUCUCUACACAGAAGUCAGUCCUUCUUCAUGAGAGCCCCUAACAUUUCCAGCACUCCAUGGUGGCGCAUAGACCUUCAGGGCUGAGAUGUGGAAUUUCUAAGUUCCUCUUGGCGCUUGGCUCGAAAGACUUUUCCACAGGUGCUGUCUGCCAGCCUGGGCUCAAGAUGCACCUGCUGGGAAAUUUCCAAGCACAGCUUUAGGCCUCAAAGGAGCAGAACUUGACGGUGUCAAAAGACAAAUGAAGUGGAAGCUCAUUAAGAAAUUUUAAUGCAAAAGCAAUGAUGAUUAAGAAGCCUAAAGAAAAUCUGGCAAACGUGCUUUUUAAACUAAUACAGGAGGGAGAAUUCCACAGGCAUCUUCAUUGCCCAUCUCUAAGGAUGGGAUUUUGAGAGGCAUAAGCACUGCUGGGUUUAAAGAAAGAGUGAUAAUUCCAGCUAGGGACACCAAGGGAGGCUGAGGAGCCCUCUCUGUGAUUUCUUUAGCAAGAAGCCUCAGAUAAAGACAAUGUUCUCCAUUAGAUAGUUUUAAAGGCCUUGGGUACACAACCAGAAAAUCACUGGAGAACAAGCCAGGAAAAUCACCUACAUUUUCAACCUCUCUAGUUUCUCCUUACAGUUUUCUACUUUUUCCCCUUGAAGGUCAUAAAACAUAAUGUAAAAACAAGGUGAAUUAUAGCAAAGCAUGAUCUAGGCACGCAACCUAAUUUCUAUAAUAUAAGGGACCUUUAGACUUCUUUGAAAUAGGACUUUCACUUUA